UUGGCCGCAUCGAACGAGAUUCCUCGUAUCGACGCGGCUGCGACGUUUGCAACGUCGCAUAUUUUACGAGUUUCGUUCUACAGCACUUCGCGCACAUCGCCAAAUAUAUAGCAUUUUACACGAGGUUUUAAACAAAAAAUACCGACUACUGUCACAACAAUAUCUUAUUCAUAUCUUUUCCAUCAUUUUCACACAGGUACCAGGGUUAAGUCAAUUUACAGGAAAUUGAGAGAAAGAUACUGUGCUAUCAACUUGAAACUGUUAAACCAUGAUACAACUGUUGAGAGGUUGACAGUUCGAUCAAGGACAAUCAUGAUCAAUAUGUCAUUCCUGCGAUAUUUUGUGAAGCAUCGUCAAGGAGGAGACAACAUCGUGGUAAACUAACAAUAUAAGAUUCCAAAAAAGUCACAGUGAGGCCAGCCAGUUUGUGUAUACUGGUAUCGUUCAGCCAAGUCCAUAGAAUGAACUACGUAUACUUAUAUUUAAGUCCGAAGAAAGAUCAAAGCAAGAGUCACCACCUUGUCUUCUCUCUCCCUCUCUCUCUCUCUCUCUCUCUCUCUCUCUCUCUCUCUCUCUCUCUCGCUCACUCUGCACAGCACAGCACAGCUUCUCCUCUCUGCACUGCUAAACUAGCAGUAGUAGUCCCUGCUGGCUGCUGUUUACACUAUGAGCCAGGCAGGAGAUGCGUCAUUCUCUUGCUCGCUCUCGCUCUCCUCCGGAUGCAGCCUCUCUGAAGAAGGCUCCCAGGAAGAGCAACGCGUACUGUCCUGCGAGUAACUCAGCAGCUGCAGGCGGAUCAAUGAUCUGUUUACGUUGACCAGGAUCAUAGGGCUGGAGGAACUGAACUAUAUCCUGUACGCAUAAUGUAAAUGAAUUGUGUGCAGUAUGGAACGCAAAAACCUUGAGGAAUUACAAAGUUUGAUUGUAUUUCAGCUGAGCACGCUGGCACUGUUUAUAUUUCAAAUAAAUACAGUGAGGCCAGUUUUCGUAUACUGGCAUCGUGCAGCCAAGUCCAUAGAAUGGACUACAUAUACUUAGAUUUAAGAAUGAAGAUACAAGCUAUAAAAUAGUAUAACUUUUUGGAGUUCUGCGUAGUACUUAAAAUACAAUUUUGUCACUUGUACCCUAACGGUACAGUAAAUUUAAAAUAUGGAGUGAUCCCCAAGAAGAAACCAGCAUUACACGUACUGCAGUAUUUUGAACAUUAAUAUUAGAAUUUGGCACUUUAUGAAAAUAAACUGGUAACCCAUUGUACGAGGAAGUGGCAAUAAAUGCCAUCAAAGUACUACACUAUUAUAAGCGUAAUAUUGGCCUAGUUGAAAAUCAUAUUAAUAUUUUAACGGAUCAUUGGACAGCUCAAGAAGACUCUGAUACGGGUGCUGGGACUGACUGUGUACUCUGAAUAUUUAGCAAAAGGAACACUACUCUUUCAAGAUCCCUCUUUAGCUGUUAUUUUUCAUGAGCAUAGAGCAGCUAUUAAAAAGUUUAUUCGUCAAGAAGACUGGCAUGAUUGAGUAUCAAUGACAUUACCAGUAUUCCAAUCUCUUGAUGCAAACUGGCCUGAUGUGUUAUGAGUCUCUUUGGAGAAAUUGGCAUGCUAUGAAAUCACUUCAUAAUUAUCAUAGAGUUUUGAAAAGCUUACAACUGUUUUUAACAUCAUGAUGAUUCAAGAUUCCAAAAAACACAUACAGUUUAAGUGAGGCCAGUUUGCGUAUACUGGUAUCGUGCAGCCAAGUCCAUAGAAUAUUAUACCCAGCUGGUAUACGUAUGCUGGUUACAGUAGAGGGAAACUUGAAAGAUGAAGUGAAUAGUUUGCUUAUCGAAUAGAAAGUCUGAUCAUCAUCAUUCAUGCCAAGAUUUUCAAGAUUUGUUAUAAAGUUUCCAAGUUUCAAUUCAUGUUAUUUUCUCUUAUAUAAGUAAUGUAUUGUAAAUUUUUAUUGUAAUAGCUUUAGAAAGCUGUCGAAGCAGUAGUUAGUGUAGUUCCUUAUGAUGACCAAACUUUGUAUUCGAUACGCAGACUAUAUUUUUGAUAUGCACAGUCUACAUAAAGUUUCUUAAUUAUUAUUUUAUUACAUCUAAUUGUAAUU
rnacentral:lncRNA from 1 species